CAGGGGCCUUAGACAAAGUAACAAUUUAAAAACGAUAACGAAGUUAGAAAAGUCUAAAAUGUAUGGAGCUGCGUUAAGUCACGUGGUCAAUCGACAUCGUUAUCGCAAUUUGGUAGACAAUGUAACAUUUCAUAACGAAACCAUAAAGUAACGACAACGUUCACGAACGUUAUCGUGUUUACUCCAUACAAAUGCGUAGACAAGCAGCACUUUCAGUGUUCGUCUUCGCCUCGAUCGUGAUCGUCAUUAAGGAUAACGAAACGAACGCUAAAACGUUGUAGUUAUCGACUAAUACCGAAACAAUAUGGCCGGAUUUCAUUCUACAGCUGAUUUUUGACCUUGGUUGAUGACAUACUCUUGAGUAUUUAUUUUAUGUUAGAGGCAUUACUGCAGGUUAAAUAAUUUAUAAAAUGCAUUCUCUUCGUUUAUUGUGGGCUGUGCACAAUGAGAACGCCUGGGAGAGACGUCAAAACCGAUAAAUCAGCGACGGCUAUUGGAAACAAUUGAAGAAAUGCCUGAAUUGUUUUUCAUCUAACAUUUCAGACUUAAUAAAAGAGCAUUUAGGAAAUUAUGCAAGGACCUAGAAGCUCAUGCACGAUUAAAAGGUUCUACUGAAAUUCCCCUGGAACUAAAGGUGCUGUGUGCUCUUAGCUUUUUAGCUACUCGCUUGCCGCUGUCUCGAAGGAGGUCGCUCAAACGGUCGGGAGAAACAGCAGACUGCGGUGUCGCUGGCGAUCUCAACCGCGAACCACGCCUGAUGGAUGGAAAAAUAUUAUUUAUAUUAAAUAUUUAUGUAUAAGAUUUUUUAUAAAUACUAAUGCAUAAUUUAUAUAAUAGGUAAUAUUUAUAAAUAAUAAUUCAUAACCAGAUUAACCAAGUUAAAAACAAAUUUAUCAAAAAAUUAAAUGGUGUCUUUCAUGUAAGUGAAGUUACUUGGUUGACUAAUGUUAUUAAGAAUACUUUAUAAAACAUUUCGAUUUAUUUAUUUGCCAUCUACCUACUAGAGACAAUUAAGUAGCUCAUUUUUGAGCAGAUCCCUUGAAGGUGUAUACCUAGUACUUACAUUAAAUCCUAGUUUUUCUAUAGUCUUGUCCAUAGUUAUAAGUAUAAUAUAUAUGUAUAUGUUAUAAGUGUAAAUGAGAUUAAAAAGCCAAUUUGGCAUGAACUUUUGAAAAAUAACAAUAACAUGCGGGUUUGGACACCAAAGUAUAGCUUGUACUAUACUAUUAUAUGUACUUGUUUGAAUUUUUGUAGUAAGGAGUUUAAUGUAAGUUUAGUGUAAGUUUUCUUUUACAUAUUUGCUUAAAAGAAAACUUACAACUAAGAAAGCAAAUGUUUUAUGGUAUAUGCCAAUAAACAUUUCUUGUUUCUUUCUUA